GGCGUAUGGCGCAGUGGUUAGCGCGCUUGUCUAUGAAUUUUUCGACGCUGGUUCGACUCCCGGAGGGUGUCA